AUUGCUUCUCGGCCUCUUGGCUAAGAUCAAGUGUAGCAUCAGAUCAUAGAUGUAAAUGGAACACAGACUUAAAUAUAAGAUGCAAAACUAUAAAAAUGUCUAAAAGAAAAUCUUUGUAACCUUGGUUAGGCAAACAUUUCUUAUUUAAAACAUAAAAACUAU
ensembl:snRNA U2 U2 spliceosomal RNA